GACGAACGCUGGCGGCGUGCUUAACACAUGCAAGUCGAACGAUGAACCCGGAGCUUGCUCCGGCGGAUUAGUGGCGAACGGGUGAGUAACACGUGAGUAACCUGCCCUUGACUCUGGGAUAACUGCGGGAAACUGUAGCUAAUACCGGAUACGACCCUCGGCGGCAUCGCCAGUGGGUGGAAAGAACUUCGGUCAAGGAUGGACUCGCGGCCUAUCAGCUAGUUGGUGAGGUAACGGCUCACCAGGGCGGCGACGGGUAGCCGGCCUGAGAGGGCGACCGGCCACACUGGGAAGGAGACACGGCCCAGACUCCUACGGGAGGCAGCAGUGGGGAAUAUUGGGCAAUGGGCGCAAGCCUGACGCAGCAACGCCGCGUGAGGGAUGACGACCUUCGGGUUGUAAACCUCUUUUAGUAGGGAAGAAGCGAAAGUGACGGUACCUGCAGAAAAAGCACCGGCUAACUACGUGCCAGCCGCCGCCGUAA
rnacentral:rRNA from 1 species